CGCUAUGCUUCCCACAAGUAGGGUGUUUAUGUUUCUUCCCUUGUUUGUUCCAUUUUACUAUUGAAUGUGCUCAUGAAAUUCUCUUCUUUUUUUGUACGUGCAGUUCAGUAACCUUGGUACACUCGAAUCACAUGGAUUCGCUAGAAACAGGAUCUGGGAAGUUGAUGCUAGCCCACCUCCUUUGCCAACGUAUUCUUCUCCUAAUGCUUUCGUUGACCUGAUCCUGAGGCCAACUGAAGACGAUCUGAAGACAUGGCCUCACAAGUAAGAUUCUUCAGAACUCGCUCUCGUUAUACUUUUCUUAGAACAGUAUGCACGUAUUAAACUUGAAAUGUCUACAUUGAAUCUUGUGCGCAUUUACUAACUUCCGUCUCGUUGCAUCCAAUUUCAGUUUUGAGUUCAGGAUGAGGGUGGACUUGGGAUCUGAAGGAGAAUUGACACUGACAUCUCGUAUCAGGAACACCAACGCUGAUGGAAAGCCGUUUACAUUCACAUUUGCUUACCACACCUAUUUCUCUGUCUCGGACAUCAGGUACUCUCAUUGCAUUCAUGUGUUCACAUGCCUCGAUCUCCACUGUCUUUUGCUUUCAUUUUCUCGAAGUAUUGAGUUUAUACUGUAUUAAACUCCUACAUAUAUCUUCCUGGGAAGCUUUGGAAUAUUAAUUUUGGUAUAUGCAUGGGAUUUUCCUUGUGUUCAGUGAAGUACGGGUUGAAGGAUUGGAGACUCUGGAUUAUCUAGACAACUUAAAGAACAGAGAACGUUUUACGGAGCAAGGAGAUGCUAUUACUUUUGAAUCCGAAGUAAGUUUGACAUAUCCAGUCUCUCCUUCUUUCUGAAAUAUAUGUCUUAGUAUCAUCACUUUAAAAAAGGAACUUGUUACUUGUUUGAAAACUAGAUUGACAAGAUAUACCUAAGCACUCCUACAAAGAUUGCUAUUUUGGACCACGAGAAAAAGAGGACCUUCGUUGUACGCAAGGAUGGGCUUGCUGAUGCAGGUAAAACAUAAAACCCUCUUUAUUUGUACCAGAAUCUUAGUUGCGUUCUACUAAUUAGAAUUCAAAACUGAUUCAUUCAUAUUCGUGUGGUCAGUGGUGUGGAAUCCAUGGGAUAAUCCCUCAAGAACUCCCGGGCUUCUUCUUCAUCAUCAUCCGUAAGCUGAUCCUUUUCUCGGAAUUUGAACCUAUUGAUAGAGAUCAGAAGAGGCGGUUCAACUGAGAACUCAUAUUCUUAUGCAAUGAUGGAUCAAGAGAACCAGUUUAGUAUAGUGGUUAUGCCAUACUCUCAUCUUUGGUUAAUCUUUAUUCCUUUUCGUUUGCAGUUCAAAUAGAGGGCUUCAUCCAUCUAUUUUCCUUCACCUUUUGAGCUUGCUUACAAAUAAUCAAAUUUUUACAUUUUUAAUAUCAUACAUAAUACAAAUCUUCUAAGAUGAUAGGAUUCUUUCUGUUUAUUAUCUCACUGAUCUGUGUGGCUGUAGAUUUUGCAUUCCCUAGACUUGACUUGACUUUCCUCUGGUGCUUUAUUGAAUAAAGAGUGUAAAUUAAAUCAUAAAAGCACUCUAAACAGCCACAUUGUGCUUAGAAUUAUCCUUUGAAGCUCCUUUCACAAGAUUGUCAAUCUGCAAACAUACAAAACAAAAUGAUCAAGUACAUUCUUCUUUUAUAUAUAUACGUUUUAUAGCAGAUGAUGGUAGCCGUUCAAAAAAAAAAAUAGCAGAUGAUAGUUAUACCACUGAGAUUAUGAUAGCUCGUCCAGGUAUACGAUCAGGGAACACGUUCACAAAACAAUAGUUUGAGCCUCUAACAUUGUGUGUUCGAGGAACAACUCCUUCAUCCACAACUUUGACAAACUCUUCUUCCUACAUAAUAUAUAAGUAAAACAAAACUAGUAUCUGGCUUUGAUACAUACAACACAAAGAGUAAAAACGAUAUCACAAUCUCAUAAGACGAUUAUAACUGCUGGCACAAGUCUUGUGUUCUAACUCCGGGAGCCAUUUCCACAUAUAUAGUCGAUUGCAUUCGGCGGAUCUACUCAAACAGUAGAGGUUUAGUUUUUAACGAUAACCGUAGAGAAGAUGAUGCUAGAAAAAUCAACACAAUUUAUACCGGAUCUUACAGUAGAGUCCCUCAUUGACUCUACUUCGCGUACUUGGAAUCCAUUAUUAAAAGCUGUGAUUCUCUUCAAAAUCAAAGAGGUCACUAAAAAAAGCAAAGAUUCAAAAUGAAAUUAACAAGUUGAGAAUGUACCUCAGCACCAGUGUAGCCACUUGCACCGAGAAGACCAAUACGAAUUAUCCUUUUCAAAGCAAUAUUAUUGGCAGAAACUCUGAAACUCAUUGAAGAAGAUGGCCUCCUCUUGAAAAUUCAUUUUAAGUUAAAAAAGAAAGAAAGUGAAACACACAUUUGUUGGGAAACUGCAAAUACAAAAAAAAAAGACCUUGAACCAGCAUCCUUGUUCGAAGCAAAUUGAGCUAAAUGUAGAAGGCGCACGCACUACUCAUUCUCUCUCGGAUAAGCUUUGUGAUUUGAAUAAUCAACGAUUGAAUUCGAAAAUUGCAUAAACCUCUCUCAACUCUCUCUCGAGAGAGAAUGUGAAGAAAGCUUUGUGAUCGGUCAUGAAAACCGUGGAACCGGAUCAAAAACCCGGUUUUCUCAUUAUUUUUUGUUUUAAAUGUUAUAAACCAAAAUAUUAAACAGAGCCAUAUAAUAAGGAAAGAGAGAGAUACGGUUCGAACAAAAACGGCAAAGAAAAGUUUUGGCGAUACCUUUUUUAACUCUCUUUAGCGUGAAGGAAAAAUCAGUGAAGAAAUCCUUAAGAGUAGAUCUUGUUUUUGAUUCUGGUACAAAAACCAAUGGCGACUGAGCGUCCUCCUUCUUUUGAGCUCGCCAAAGGUAUCAAUGGCCUCGACAAAAUCGUCCUCCGCCAGUCUCGUUUCCGCUCCGCCGAGGUAUCUAUCUCCUUUUCACUCUCUAUCUCUCUAACUGAUCUGAGAUUUUUUUACAUCUUUUGUGAUCGCCGAUUGCGAUUGCGAUUGCGAUUGCGAAUCUCAUCUCUAGUGAUUUGAACUAGAUCUGUGGAUUUACUCAGUCCUCUACAAAGUAGUCUAGUCUAUGAAUCCAUGGAUCUGUUGAAUUGAUUGAUUCCGAGUGGAUUAUAUUGAUCAUCAGUUUGUUGUGUUAUUAUUAUGAUUCCUUCACAAUGAUGUUAAUUUGGUUUCUGACAAAAAAAAAAUGGAGGUAUACUUGUAUGGUGGUCAUGUGACUUCUUGGAAGAAUGAGAAUGGUGAAGAGUUGCUUUACCUCAGCAGCAAGGUAUUAUCCACAUCUUCCAUCUGAUUUUAAAAAAUCACAUUAUGGUUCAUGAAAACAGCUUCAAACUCCCUUAGAAACAGACUAACUGUCACUUUUAUCUUGAAUCUGCGGAGAAAAUAAGAAUAAUGCCUAAAGAAGUUGAUAUUGGAAAUGCUAUACAUUUGCCAUUAGAUGCUUCUCUGGUUUGCCUGUGAUGCAAAAGAGUAUUUAUCUUCUUAGAAUGAUUGCUUCAAGGAGGUUGAUGACAUCAAUUCUUACUUUCAUGUUUAGUUUAAUUUCCAAAUAAAGCAUGUGAAAGAAUAGAGGACAUUUGAUUUUGCAGUCUCGUUGUUUUGUUUUGCCUCGUUAAGUGAGUGUAUGAGCGUAAAGCAAUAGAGAUCUGAGACCAAUGUGCUAUGCGUUGUGCAGGCUAUAUUCAAGCCUCCAAAACCAAUCCGUGGAGGGAUUCCGCUAUGCUUCCCACAAGUAGGGUGUUUAUGUUUCUUCCCUUGUUUGUUCCAUUUUACUAUUGAAUGUGCUCAUGAAAUUCUCUUCUUUUUUUGUACGUGCAGUUCAGUAACCUUGGUACACUCGAAUCACAUGGAUUCGCUAGAAACAGGAUCUGGGAAGUUGAUGCUAGCCCACCUCCUUUGCCAACGUAUUCUUCUCCUAAUGCUUUCGUUGACCUGAUCCUGAGGCCAACUGAAGACGAUCUGAAGACAUGGCCUCAC
rnacentral:lncRNA from 1 species